UGAGCCCCAGUGGUAGUUUGACCCUUCUGCUGUACCAUGAACUUAAAGAAACACUCAUUAGAACUCGACUAACCUCCUUUUCAAUUCGGCAUAGUUAAGCGCACUGUGGUUAAGCGUUGAUGUGAGAGGUGAAAACGAAGUAGAAAUGGCUCCUAAGAACACCUAUUUGUCAAGGCUUUCGUGGGAGCUUUGAGCAUUUCCAGGGGUAGUUUUUUGAGCCCAGGUGGUAGCUUGACCCUUCUUCUGUACCAUGAACCUAAAGAAACACUCAUUAGAACUCGACUGAUCUCCUUUUCAUUCGGCAUAGUUAAGCGUUGAGGCGAGAGGUGAAAACGAAGUAGAAAUGGCUCCUAAGAACACCUAUUUGUCAAGGCUUUCGAGGGAGCUUUGAGCAUUUCCAGGGGUAGUUUUUUGAGCCCCGGUGGUAGUUUGACCCUUCUGCUGUACCAUGAACCUAAAAGAACACGCAUUAGAACCCGAUUCAUCUCCCCUUCGGUCUUAGGAAGUGGAUGAUGUGGGAGGUGGCAGCGUCUGAACAGGGACCAUAUUUUUAAACAUUUCGCCGCUAAAGUACAGUUAUUUGACAAGGCUUUCGUAGGAGUUCUGAGCAUUUCCAGAUGUAGUUUUAUAACCCCGGCGGUAGCUUGACCCUUCUUCUGUACCAUGAACCUAAAAGAACAAGCAUUAGAAGCCGAUUGAUCUCCCCUUCGCUCUUAGGAAGUGGAUGAUGUGGGAGGUGGCAGCGUCUGAACAGGGACCAUAUUUUUAAACAUUUCGCCGCUAAAGUACAAUUAUUUGACAAGGCUUUCGUAGGAGUUCUGAGCAUUUCAAGAUGUAGUUUUAUAACCCCGGCGGUAGCUUGACCCUUCUUCUGUACCAUGAACCUAAAAGAACACGCAUUAGAAGCCGAUUGAUCUCCCCUUCGCUCUUAGGAAGUGGAUGAUGUGGGAGGUGGCAGCGUCUGAUAAUGCCGGUCUUAGCGAGUAGCCAGGCGCAUGAAGUGUUCUGCACGGCGUUUGCUUAACCCGAUUCGACGGUGAUCUAAGCCGAGAAAAUUGUUGUUCCUCCGAUUAGAGUCAAUUUUAGAGUCUUUACGUUUUUUUAUAGAAGUAAAAAAAAAAUAAUGAUGAACAGGAAAGUGGAAGAGAAAUUUUAAGCUGACGCCAAGAUGAAAAAAAUAAAAAGUUGAACUACGGAGCUUGUUGAAUUGAAAUUGAAGAUUGGUGUUCCUCCGAUUAAAGUCAAUUUGAGAGUCUUUACGUUUUUAUUAUUUUGUGGAAGUUAAAAAAAAAAUAAUAAACAGGAAAGUGGAAGAAGAAGAAGAACUUGACGCCACGAGACAAAAAAAAAAAAAAUGCUGUACUAUGAGGGGAAAAUCAAUAUUAAAAGAGAGAUUCAUUUACUGGAAGCUUAGAUCCACUUUGCAGGUUAGAAAAAAAAUAUAUAAAUCAUCAGAAAAUAAAGACUUUAGAUUUUGUAAAGGAAAGAUUGAUAAAAAAUAUUGGAGGUUUGGGUGUCUCUCUCUCUGAAUGUGUGUGUGUGUGUGUGUGUGUGUGUGUGUGUGUGUGUGUGUGUGUGUGUGUGUGUGUGUGUGUGUGUGUGUGUGUGUGUGUGUG